rnacentral:rRNA from 1 species
CGUGUAGGCGGUUUGCCAAGUCAGAUGUGAAAGCCCCGGGCUUAACCUGGGAACUGCAUUUGAGACUGGUAGGCUAGAGGUUGGAAGAGGAGAGUGGAAUUCCCAGUGUAGAGGUGAAAUUCGUAGAUAUUGGGAAGAACACCAGUGGCGAAGGCGGCUCUCUGGUCCACACCUGACGCUGAGGCGCGAAAGCGUGGGGAGCAAACA